GCGGUAUUGAGCAUCUUUUCACGUGUGUUUUUGCCAUCUGGAUGUCUUCUUUGGCAAAGUGUCUAUUUAAAAAAUCAUCUCCAUAUAGGUGUGAAUUAUAUACCAUAAAAUUCAUACAUCUUAGUGAGUAGGCCAGUGCUUUGACAAAUGUGUACAUCUAUGUAAUCACAAACCAAGUCAAGCUAGAGACAGUUUUCAUCUUCUGAGCCAGUUCUGUUCUUCUCUUGCCAUUCAGCUUCCCCCAGCAACACCACACCAGGCAACCAAUAUUCUUUUUGUUACUAUAGAGUAGCGUUUCCUUUCCACAGUUGCAUAUCAAUGGCUUUAUAGAAAUGGAUUCUCCUAUCUGGCUGCUUUAUUUUAGCAUAAUGUCUGUGACAUUCUUCUGUGUGGUUUCUUGCAUCAGUAGCUCAUUUGUUUUCAUAAUAGAGUUGUGUAGCAUUAUAUGGAUAUAAAAUGUGUUUAUCCAUUCCAAUAUUGAUGGAUUUUUGGAGUGUUUCCAGGUUUUGGCAAUUAUGAUUGAGCUAUUUAUGAACAUUUGAAUUUAGUCUUUGAAUGUGCAUAUAUCUACUAUUUGUGGCAUAAAUAUCCAAAAGGGAAUUGCUGGGUUAUGUGCAUGAUUACAUCUGUAAGAAUCUGCCUUACUGAAUUUCAAGUUAACUGGCAUUUUGCAUCCCCACCAGCAAUGUUUGAGAAUUCCGGUUGAUUCUCAUCUUUAUUAACAAACAGGAUCAUCAGGUUCAAAAUUUUAACCAUUAUGUUGUGCAUAUUGUGGGAUGUCAUUUUGCUUUAAUUUUACGUUGCUGUUUGACUAAUGAUAGUGAACACCUUUUCAUCUGCUUAUUGGCCAUUAUUAGGUCUCCUUCUGUGAAAUUGAAUUUUUCCCAAAUUUAAGUAGGUAGUUUGAUAUUUGGAAAACAAUUCCUUUAUCAAGUAUAUGAUUUGCAAAUAUUUUCUCCCAUUUGUGUCUUAUCUUUUAAGUUUCUAACAGUUUAUUUCCAGGAACAUAUACCUUAACUUUUGAUGAAGUCCAAAUUGGUCAAUUUUUUAUUAUUUAUUUUGUGCUCUAUAUAGGACAUUUUUUCCAACUUCAAAGUUGCAAAGAUUUGUCAUACUUUUUUUCUCUCCAAAGUUUACAUAUAUACUUUUACAUUCAUGUCUAUGAUUGAUUUCUAGCUAUUUUGUGUAUGCAAUAGAGUUCAUCUUUUUUCCUCAUAUGGAUUUUCAGUUGUUUAGCACAAUUUGCUGGAAAUGAUAUCCUUUUACUUCCUGAAUAACUUGUCAGUUUUGUCAAAUAUCCACUGAAUAUAGGUAAGUGUGUGUGUGUGUGUGUGUGUGUGUGCACGCGUGUGCAUGCGCGCACGUGCACAUGUGUGUCUAUUUCUGGACUUUUUAUCAUUUCCCACAAAUUUAUAUAUUUCUCCUCAUAUCAUUAUGCCUUCCCUUGAUUACUGUAGUGUGAGUCCUCCCAUCUGUUCUUAAUUUUGGGGGGUAGAAUAAUGGCCUCCCCAAUGAUGCCCAUGUCUGAUCCCUGGUACCUGUGAUUAUGGUACCUUACUUAGAGAAAGGAACUUUUUAGAUAUUACUAAUGUUAAAGGUCUUGCAAUGGAAACUUUAUUCUUGAUUUUCUAAAUGGGCUCAACGUAAUACCAUAUGGAAAGAAGGGUGGGAUUGAGAGAGGCAGAGAUGGAGAAAGAUAGAGAAACAAGAUGAGGUAAGAAGGAUCAGAGAGAGACAGUUGCUGGCUUUGAAGAUGGAGAAAGAGACCAUGAACCAAUCAAUUCAGGAAGCCUCUAGAAGCUGGAAAAGACAAGGAAACUGAUUCUCCCUUGGAGCCCCAAGAGAGGAACACAGCUCUGCAACACCUUGAUUUAGUCCAGUGAUCCACCUGUCACAUUUUGAACCGACAAAAAUUUAAGAAAUAAAUUAGUACUGUUUAAACCUGAUGUAAGUAUGUGGAUUUUCUUUGUAGUUGCAGUAGACAAUUCAUACAUUAAUUUUUAAUGUUUUUUUUCUGGCUUUUUUUUUAGCUGUUUUCCAUUUUCUUUGAGUUUUGGUAUUACCUUGUUAAUUUCUACGGAAAGUCUACUAGGAUUUUCAUUGGAAUUGAGUGGAAUUUGUAUAUUAUUCUGGGGAUAGUUGAUUGUAAAAAUAUUUUUUCCUCCAAUUUAAGAUCUUGGUUUAUCGCUCCAAUUAUUUAGGCCUCCUUCAAGUUUUCUCAGGGAGGUUAUAUAAUUUCUGAAUACAAGUCAUGCACGUGUUUUGUUAAAUCCUUCCUUUUGUGGCACAGGUUUUUUUUUUUUCUUUUAAUACUAUUACAAAUUAUAAAGUUUUGAUUUCCCACUUCCCAUUACUAUUGUAUCAAAAUACAAUUUCAUUUAAUGUAUUGACCAUUUAGUAUUAUCUUCCUUAAUUUACUAUUAGUUUGGUAAUAUUUUGUAGGUUCUAUAGGUUAUUACAUCAAUUAUACAGUAUUUGAUGAUUAAGAAGAUUAGCAGGACUCCACAGCAUAGAUUUACAUUAGGGUUUGUAAAGGUUAAAGACUGUAGUACAACAGGAGAGAGAAACAAAGGCAAUUGUAGAGAAGUUUGAACACUUACAAGCACAGCCAUUCCGUACCAUUUUUUCCGGAUGUUUUUCAUCUUUGGGUUCCAAAUCACCAAGAUGCAUGUAAGGUAUCUUGUUUUCAGGUAGGCUAGUACACAAAUUUACAAAGAGGUCUCAUAACAUUAUGCUUACUUACUUAAACUAGUCUCUGUAACUGAUUAAACCAGGUAUAAACCAUAAAUCUAUAUAUUCCUACAAAAUUUAGACAAGCUUGUACAGUGUGUCUCCAGGGGUUUCAUACUUAAACCACACAUUAUAAAUCACUGGGUACCACAUGCUUAUCUUGGCCAAAGGGUUAGCACUAGAAUCCUAGCUAUCCCUGGAGAUAACCAUAGGACAGUUUCAUUCCACCUGCAAAAUAAUCCUAUCCUUCCAUAGUUCAUCUUCCUGAUCCUUUGUUAAGCUUUCUGAAGUACAGAUUGCUCAGGUAACUGCUCUUUUUUUCCAUGCAUUUUCAACAACAUUUAUAGACUAGAAAAAGCAAAAAGGCAAGCAACAAUUGCACAUAGGUAUUUCUUUCAAGAAACAUUUAAGUUUUAACAAAUAAACAUGUUUCUGAUCUUGACAACUCUGCUGCCUCCUUCCAGAACUCAAAUUUGAACUUUAUGUAGGUAUUAGGAGAGAGGUUUGAUUUCAUUGUAAUCAAUUUUCCAUUACAAGAUUUCUUAUUAUGGAAGGGAAAAUGUCUUACAUAAUACAAAUACAUCAAUCUUUUUAUUUAAUUAUCCAUUUUUCUCUGGUAUAUGUAUUGCAACUGCUAAGAAGUUUGGCAGCUUAAUUCUUAAGAUGCUAUUCUGGUGUCCUAGAAAAAAAUACUAUAUGCUGUAAUGGCCUCUUUUAUUACCAGCAUGCUAUGAAUACAUAAAUAUAAUUGAAUUGAGAAAAAUGUUCCUAAAAUUUUCACAGCGUUUUAGUGAUGAGAAAAAGCUUUGUAGUAACACUGUUUUCACUUUUGGUAAUUAUUUUAAGGCAGUUCAUCACCGAUCUUUUUGGAUUACUUUUACUUAGUGUUUAAUUCAUUAGCACAUAUUAAUUGAUAAAGCUUUUUGUUCUAGGGAUGGGAUUAUUAAGUUAGGUUGUUCAUUAAUUAACAUUAUCAAUAAAAUCUUCAAUUCUGUUAUGAACUAGCAUGUUGUGAUAUGCCAGGAUUUGAGAAUGCCAGACUCAAAAGUGGUGGCAAGUCGUUUAAGCUCAAUGACGAGUUAGAAUUUGAGUGCUAUGAUGGAUAUGAAAGCAGACUUGGAGGCAACACGGUUCCAUAGUAUGUGGUAACAAUGGCUGGUCUGAUACACCUACAUGUUAUGCUGUCCAGAAUAAGAAGAAGAGCUUGAUUACGUGGGGAGAUGAAUGGAUGUAGACUGUGCAAAACUUUGACAACAGAAUAGUGUUUGGGGAAAUAUUCCGACAAAAACUUACAAGAGUUGGACCAGAUUCAGUUCAGUGUUCCCAUUUUGGAUGGUCCCCUGAUCUUCCAACAUGUAAAGGUGAAUAUUUAUCCUACAAUUGCUGAAACAAUUGAAUUUUGGAUAUCAAGGUUUUCCUCUCUUAAUUUUCUUUUGGCUUCCAUUGUGUCUACAAUCUAAUGAAUUAAGCCAGAGAUAGACCCUGUGAAGGACAUGUGUUGGGUAGUAGAUACUUUAGACUUCUUAUUUAAGAAAUUAAUCUCCAAUUGUUCAUUGAAAUAUGCAGUGGAAAUAUGAAUAGAUGUUUUUAUGAUGUCUGACUCUGAAGGGACUUUUGUUACUUUUCCUUUUGCCUACAAUUCCACUAUUAAUACUGGACAUUUUUAAUAGCAUGGGCCUUAACUCAUUUCACUGAUUGUAUCUAAACUUUUGGUCAGUUCAGUCACAUAUAUGGCUCAAUCAAAGUUAAUAAUACUGAUCAAGCGCUCAUCUCAAAUGAUGUUUUUUUUUAGAAAGUUUUGAUAAAUUUUUUGUAUGUAAUAUGAAUAUUAAUAUAAUUGUACAGUCAUAUUUACUAAUUGGUUUGAAUACCUCUUUAGAAUAUCUAGAUUAUUGAACAGAUUUCUUUUGCUACUCUUUCCUGUCUGAGCUAUACUUUCAAAACUGAAUUCAGGGUGUGUACCAAGGUUUCUAAUUCACCCUUGAAGUUUCUCAUAGAGAGACAGGUCCUAAAGGUGCGGUGACGAGAGAACUACAAAGCAGGGGCUGAGACUCUCCCGGAGUGCAAGCAUCGGUCCCCUGGCUCAAGCCUCUUUCAUUUUUGCAAACUGUCUGACAGCAGCAAGCACAUACAACACGGUAUUUGACAUCUGGACAGGCCAUCCACCUGCAGUGUAUUCCAUACCGGGUCAUGAGUACAUCUGGCGCCGGACGAAACAUUCUUUUCCCAGGCCUGGCGCCCGUACGAUGUCCUUCUGGAGAGAAGGAGCAGUCCCGGCGUCCUUCCGGCGUCCUGGGAAUGAAACAGCUUUCAGUUCCUUGCUGCUCCGUCCCUUUCCUUCAGGACAUUCUUACCGUGCCUCCGGCCUCUUGUUCUCCAACAGUUUCUUACGUUUACAGGAUUGUAAGGGCAGGUAAAAUCAUGUGGUACGCCUCCUCAACCCCCCAGUGGGGAGAUUAAGGAAACAAACAAAGAAAAAUAUGAACUUAACAAAGUGGUGGAAUAUGUUUGCAACUCUGGAUUUUUGAUGACGUAUUCUAAUAAAAUUCAGUGUGUAGAUGGAACAUGGACAACCUUGCCUCUAUGUAGUGUUUUUGCAGAGGGCAGUACAUGGGGUCACGUACCUGGACUUGCUUAUGGUUAUGUUGUGGAGUCUUCUGCCCCUCCCUUUCACCAUGGAGCUUGAGUGGAGUUCAGUUGCAGAGAAACAUGUACAUUGAUUGGACCCAGAUCAAUUACAUGUGACAGUGGACGGUGGACCCCACUUCCUCAGUGUGUUGCAACAAAUGAACUUAAGAAGUGUAAAUCAUCACAGUUAGUUUCAUAUGAGGUGAUUGAUCAUAAUACCAACAUGCAUUACAAAUGUAGAGGAAGAACAGACUACAAACACUCAAUCUGCAUAAAUGGAAGAUGGGAUCCUGAAAUACCCUGCACAGGUAAGCUCUUAUUUAUAAUGUUUUUAAGAAUUUAUUUGGUUUCUUUCUAACCUGUAAAAGAAUGAUCUUUGUGCCUUAAAAAAUUAGCUCUUUAUUAUUACAAAUAAUUUUCAAGUGGGAAGGUAAUUUUAAAAAAGAGCCAAAACACUGCUUCUAAAUGCUUACUGUAUCAUUAUUGUAUUAGUGUUACUGUAUCAUUACCGUAUUAGCGAUAUAACAUUACCACCUACAAACUUGGCUUUAAAUUAACAUCUGGGCAGUAGGUGUACAAAUUACUAUUGGAAUACCAUUGCUUUUAACUCCCUUUAUUACACACAAAGGUACCUAUACCUAUGCCUAUGCCUAUGCCUAUAACUAGUAUGUAUCUGUGUACCUAUAAAUAUAUCCAUUAAUGUAUCUAUGUAUGUAUCUAUUUAUGGAUGCAUGAAUCUCCCUUAUCACCUAUUUAUUUAUGUGUUUAUCUGUCUUGAAACUUCUGUAUCCGCUGACACCACUGAUUCCUAUUGAAUAGCACAGGCUUUAUUCCAUUUUUCCACUCUUCAUAUUUGUAUCUCUCUUCUCUAUCAGUAGGACACCUUAACUUACUCUCCUCAAUAUUUUAACUAAUUUCCCCAAGCCUAGAAUACAUGGAAAGUAGUGUCACGUGAAUAUAAGGACCCAACCUACUAUCUAUGGUUCAACGUAUUUUUUGUUCUUUUGUAAAAGGAAAUAAAUAUUUAUGUGCAAUGAAGCAUAUAUGCUCUACAUUUUCUUCUAGAAGCUUUAUAGUUUUAGCAUUUAUAUUUAGGUAUAUCAUCCAUAUUAUAUUAAUUUUUGAGUUUGGCAUAAAAUAGGGGUUGAUUUUUAAAAAAAUAUAGGUAGCCAAUUGUUCUAGCAAUAUGUGUGGAAAGGACUUUGAAAUGAAAAUCCGUUAACUAUGUAAGCAUUGAUCUACUUCUAGACUCUCUACUCAGCCCAUGUAUCCAUUUAUCUAUCUUUAUUCCUGCCCCAUUGCCUUGGUAACUAUAGCUUUAUAGCAAGUCUUGAAGUCUGAUUUGUGUUCUCCGAUAUGUUCUUGCUAUUCAAAAUUGCUUUACUCAUUCUGGUCUUUUCAUUUCCAUAAAAAUUUCAAGGAAAGCUUAUGGAUUUCUAUAAGAUAUCUGCUUGUAUAAUGAAAUGGAUGGUUUGUAUAAUGAAAAAUAAAUUAGGGAGAAUUGGCAUCUUAAUCAUAUUGAGUGUUCAAUCCAUAAACAUACUAGAUUUCUUCAAUUAUUUUUUAUGCUUCUAUUUUCCCAAUAAUGUUUUAAGUGUAGAAGUUUUAAAGCUAUAAAAAAAUUAUUCCUGUUUUAUAUUUUUAUGCUAUAAAUGCAGUUUUUCAAAAUUAUAUUUUCCAGUUUUACUGCAAGUAUAAAGAAAUGCACUUGACUUUUGUAUAUUGAUUUUAUAGUUUGAAACUAUAUUAAGUUGCCUUAUUUUAUGUAUCAUUUUGUUGAUCUGUUAUAGUUUUCUUUUUUUUUAUUUAGAUCUGUUACAAUUUUCUAUGAGCAGUUAUGUCAUUACAAAUACAAGAUUUUAAAUCUGUCUGAGUCUGUUCUUAUUUUUACUUUUUGUUUAUUUUCUUAUCUUGUUGCAUUGGCUAGGACCUUAAAUAAACUUUUUAAAUGUUUUAUGUAUUUUUGAGAGAGACAGAGACAGAAUGCGAGUG